GGAGUGGUGAGCAGGAGUCAGGGCACGCAGACCCUGGGCUGACACAGACAUCUGACUGUGCUCCGUGGACGCUGACAAGCACGACUGUAAGGGUGAAGGGCGCGUGGAGGCUGCUGCAACUUUCCAAGGGUCCCUCUGGCCGGCCGCUGGGUGGAGAAGGGGGCUGAGAGAAUGCAGAGCAGGCUACUGCAGUCCACCAGGAGAGAGACGUGCGGGCUUGGAGCUGAGCGGUGGACAGAGCUGGGGGGGCCCAAGGACUCCAGAGAGAAUGUAGCCCCUUCCACACCAUGAGGACACAGCAAGAAGGCACAGCAUUGAACAAGGAAGAGGCCCCCUCAGCAGAAGGCAACCAUGCUGGCACCUUGGCCUUGGACUUCCAGGUUGCAGAACUGUGAGCAAUAAACUUCUGUUGUUUAUAAGC